rnacentral:rRNA from 1 species
UAGGGCUAGCCUCAAGUGAUGAUUAUUGGAGGUAGAGCACUGUUUGGACGAGGGGCCCCUCUCGGGUUACCGAAUUCAGACAAACUCCGAAUGCCAAUUAAUUUAACUUGGGAGUCAGAACAUGGGUGAUAAGGUCCGUGUUCGAAAGGGAAACAGCCCAGACCACCAGCUAAGGUCCCAAAAUAUAUGUUAAGUGGAAAAGGAUGUGGCGUUGCCCAGACAACUAGGAUGUUGGCUUAGAAGCAGCCAUCAUUUAAAGAGUGCGUAAUAGCUCACUAGUCGAGUGACACUGCGCCGAAAAUGUACCGGGGCUAAACAUAUUACCGAAGCUGUGGAUUGUCCUUUGGACAAUGGUAGGAGAGCGUUCUAAGGGCGUCGAAGCAUGAUCGCAAGGACAUGUGGAGCGCUUAGAAGUGAGAAUGCCGGUGUGAGUAGCGAAAGACGGGUGAGAAUCCCGUCCACCGAUUGACUAAGGUUUCCAGAGGAAGGCUCGUCCGCUCUGGGUUAGUCGGGUCCUAAGCUG